rnacentral:ncRNA from 1 species
GAGGUGCCGGUGGAAGCACCGGGUAAAAGGGAACCGGGUGAGAAUCCCGGACGAUCCCGUCACUGUGAAGGGGAAAAGCGCCAGGUCCGAAGAGGACAGUCACUGGAAGAGAUUCCGGGAAGGCGGUGCGGCAGUAUCCCCGAAGCCAGGAAACCUGCCCCUGC